AGGUCUGAAGAUUUACGGCAUGAAUUUGGUCGUUAUGGUCCUAUAGUUGAUGUGUAUGUUCCACUUGAUUUCUACACUCGCCGUCCAAGAGGAUUUGCUUAUGUUCAAUAUCCUUUCUUCAGAUGGCUGAUUAGUGAGGGGUGUUGAAGUUUGAAAUUCAAGUUUAUAGAAUGUAAAGCUGUACAGUUAUGGCGACCCCAAAGAGAAAGCAUGAAAGAACCUUUAGAGUAGAGUUCAACACUUAAGGCAAGUAGAUAAGCCAAAGACCUCUUAAGGAUCAGGCUUGAAGAGAAGGGAGAGUUUGGGAAAAGAAAACAUAAAGAGAAGCUGGAAGAAGGACAAGCCUAAUGGGAGACAAAGCCUCGCUUUAUCUACAAAAGGGGGAAAAGGUUGUUUUUCAAAGUUAAAGAUAAAGCCAUCUGUCAUAUUUGGCCAAGCAUCUCAUGACAAGUCCUUCUUACAAGCACUUAAAGAGUUAAAGGUCAAGAUGAAGUUGAAUUGAAUGAUGGCCAAGAUUAAAGGAGUCAUACCUGAUCACAUUUGAGCAUGUUCGUGAUGCUGAAGAUGCUUUACAUAAUUUGGACAGAAAGUGGAUUUGUGGAUGGCAGAUUGAAAUACAGUUUGCCCAGGGGGAUCGGAAGACACCAAAUCAGAUGAAAGCCAAGGAAGGGAGGAAUGUGUACAGUUCUUCACGCUAUGAUGAUUAUGACAGAUACAGACGUUCAAGAAGCCGAAGUUACAAAAGAAGGAGAUCAAGAAGUCGGUCUUUUGAUUACAACUAUAGAAGAUCGUAUAGUCCUAGAAGCAGUAGACCAACUGGAAGACCACGGCGUAGCAGAAGCCAUUCCGACAAUGAUAGAUUCAAAUACCCAAAUCGAUCUUUUUCAAGAUCUAAAUCCAAUUCAAGAUCACGGUCCAAGUCCCAGCCCAAGAAAGAAAUGAAGGCUAAAUCACGUUCUAGGUCUGCAUCUCACACCAAAACUAGAGGCACCUCUAAAACAGAUUCCAAAACACAUUAUAAGUCUGGCUCAAGAUAUGAAAAGGAAUCAAGGAAAAACCACCUAGAUCCAAAUCUCAGUCAAGAUCACAGUCUAGGUCUAGGUCAAAAUCUAGAUCAAGGUCUUGGACUAGUCCUAAGUCCAGUGGCCACUGAUAGUAUAAACCAUGGUCAUUUUUAGGCAUGUAUCAUUUACUCAUAGUUUGGUUUACUUAAAUUAUCAGGAAUACAAUGUUGCAAUGAUGCUUAAAAAACACUUGUUAGUUUUCCCUGUACCAGGCAAUGGUUAUAAUUAAAUGAUAUGCUGUUGAGAAGCCACUCUUAAGAGUCCAGUUUGUUUAAUGUUAUGGGCAGCUACCAAUUG